rnacentral:rRNA from 1 species
UGAGUUUGAUCCUGGCUCACCUUUUUAACGCUGGCGGCGUGCCUAACAAAUGCAAGUCGAACGUUUCUUGGGGAAAAGAUUACUUCGGUUUGAAGUUUGUUGUUGGUUAUUGGCGGCCGGCUGAAUAACGCGUGGUUAACCUGCCGUAUGCAGGGGGAUAACAGUUAGAAAUGACUGGUGAUACCGCUUAAGCGCACAAUAUCUCAUGAACAAUUGAAGAAACCAUAGCGGCAUACGAUGGUCCCGCGUCUGAUUAUCUAGAUGGCGGGGAAGCGGCCCACCAAGGUGACGAUCAGCAACCGGCUUGAAAGUGUGAAACGCCACAUUGGAACUCAGACACUAGCCAUACUCCUUCUGGAU